rnacentral:rRNA from 3 species
CAGACCUCUAAUCGGAAAAGACUACCCGCUGAGUUUAAGCAUAUCACUAAGCGGAGGAGAAGAAACUAACC